rnacentral:lncRNA from 1 species
UAAAUUUCUCCUGCGACAUUUUGAUUGGAUACUAAAUAUAAACUUUGCUGUGGGCGGAAAGCGAUCAGGUUAAGUUUUGUGUCAGGCUCUAUUUGUAAAAUAGAGCCUGAUACUCAGGUUAGCUCACACGACGCCAGCAACACGAGCCUGCGUUCGGUGUUCGCGUAAUUCGGAAUACUUCAUGUUGAAACAAUGCAUGUAUUUUGAGUAUAAAGAGCGCGGCCCUCGAACAAGCACCGCCCUCAUAUAAGCUCGACAUUAAAAAUUUAAAGAGCCCACGGCGUUUAAACGAGUAAAUAUGGUAUUUAGUAUUUAGUACGGUAAGUAGUCUAUAACAUCGUUAUUUCUAAACUGCUAUUCGCAUUUCUAAAUUGCUAUUCGCACUUCUAAAUUGCGAAAUCAGCUUCGGUUGUCGAAGUCAGCGUGUAUACGUAAAGUUUUCUAUCUUUUAUCUAUCGAUCUAUUCCUGUAGAAAUGUUUGAGAAAAACACACUUCGAAAUCGCAUGCAAAACGCGUGAACAAGCUAGAUCUCGGCUACAUUAACAUUUGGUACAGUUUCCAGGGUAACUAAUACCAGUGUAAAACAUAUAAAAAACUUCAGACUGGAUGAAAUAUAUUCCAAUAUGUUCUUUCCUCUAAUUACUCGCCCUCCCAGAAUAAAUUUACCAAUCAAUUUGAUGAUCACCUAAAAGGUGGUCAACUGUUCACGUGCAGAUGUUUCGGAUCACAUUCCAGUUCUGUAUAGUUGCUUUGAAAACAAUUAGACAGUAAGGAAAAAAAUGACUUUACAAUUCGUGACAAAUAAUUUGCAGGGUCGUACGCAGGAUUUUUUCACCAGGGGGGCUAUAUGCCGAAAAAAGUCCCAAAUAUCCAAAGAAUAAUUAAUAAUGACAUUCUAAAAACAGUAAAUAUAGUUUUGUCUGGGAGUGGGACAGUUGCCUUCCCCAGCUGCGUAAGGCCCUGAUAAUUUGAAUGAUUUGAUGAUCCAAAUCAAUCACAUCAAUCUUUCAUUCUAAUUUUACCCAAAUAUAUAACACAUGCUUUUCAAUUAAACAAAUAAAAAG